rnacentral:rRNA from 1 species
CCUACGGGAGGCAGCAGUGAGGAAUAUUGGACAAUGGACGAGAGUCUGAACCAGCCAAGUAGCGUGAAGGAUGACUGCCCUAUGGGUUGUAAACGUCUUUUAUAUGGGAAUAAAAUGGUCCACGGGUGGGAUUUUGUAUGUACCAUAUGAAUAAGGAUCGGCUUACUCCGUGCCAGCAGCCGCGGUAAGACGGAGGAUCCGAGCGUUAUCCGGAUUGAUUGGGUUUAAAGGGAGCGUGGGUGGAUUGUUAAGUUAGUUAGGAAAGUUUGCGGCUCAAACGUCAAAUUGCAGUUGAUACUAGCAGUCUAGAGUACAGUAGAGGUGGGCGGAAUUCGUGGUGUAGCGGUGAAAUGCUUAGAUAUAACGAAGAACACCGAUUGCGAAGGCAGCUCACUGGACUGCAACUGACACUGAGGCUCGAAAGUGUGGGUAUCAAACAGGAUUAGAUACCCGGGUAGUC